GUGUCAGCCGCCGCGGUAAUACGUAGGGUGCAAGCGUUGUCCGGAAUUACUGGGCGUAAAGAGCUCGUAGGUGGUUUGUCGCGUCGUCUGUGAAAGCCCGGGGCUUAACUCCGGGUCUGCAGGCGAUACGGGCAUAACUAGAGUGCUGUAGGGGAGACUGGAAUUCCUGGUGUAGCGGUGAAAUGCGCAGAUAUCAGGAGGAACACCGAUGGCGAAGGCAGGUCUCUGGGCAGUAACUGACGCUGAGGAGCGAAAGCAUGGGGAGCGAACAGGAUUAGAUACCCUGGUAGUCCAUGCCGUAAACGGUGGGCGCUAGGUGUGGGGAUCUUUCUACGAUUUCCGUGCCGUAGCUAAACGCAUUAAGCGCCCCGCCUGGGGAGUACGGCCGCAAGGCU
rnacentral:rRNA from 1 species